AUACGGAGGGUGCAAGCGUUACUCGGACUCACUGGGCGUAAAGCGCGCGCAGGCGGCUAUUUAAGUUGGAUGUAAAAGCCUACGGCUCAACCGUAGAACUGCAUCCAAAACUAUUUAGCUAGAGUGUGGGAGAGGAAGAUGGAAUUAGUUGUGUAGGGGUAAAAUCCGUAGAGAUAACUAGGAAUACCAAAAGCGAAGGCAAUCUUCUGGAACACUACUGACGCUGAGGCGCGAAAGCGUGGGGAGCAAACAGGAUUAGAUACCCUAGUAGUCC
rnacentral:rRNA from 1 species